rnacentral:rRNA from 1 species
CGCUCAGAUUGAACGCUGGCGGCAGGCCUAACACAUGCAAGUCGAACGGUAGCACAGAGAGCUUGCUCUCGGGUGACGAGUGGCGGACGGGUGAGUAAUGUCUGGGAAACUGCCCGAUGGAGGGGGAUAACUACUGGAAACGGUAGCUAAUACCGCAUAACGUCUUCGGACCAAAGUGGGGGACCUUCGGGCCUCACACCAUCGGAUGUGCCCAGAUGGGAUUAGCUAGUAGGUGGGGUAAUGGCUCACCUAGGCGACGAUCCCUAGCUGGUCUGAGAGGAUGACCAGCCACACUGGAACUGAGACACGGUCCAGACUCCUACGGGAGGCCGCGGUGGGGAAUAUUGCACGAUGGGCGCAGCCUAUGCAGCCAUGCCGC